rnacentral:tRNA from 1 species
GGUUGUGGCUCAGAGGUAGAGCACUCGCCUCGCAUGUGUGAGGCACUGGGUUCGAUCCUCAGCACCA